rnacentral:rRNA from 1 species
GGGGGGGGGGGGGGGGGGGGGGGGGGGGGGGGGGGCGGCGGGAGGGGCCCUGCGGUGGUGGGGUGCGCGAGGGGCGAACGGGUGAGUAGCAGGUGAGUAACCUGCCCUUGACGUUGGGAUAGCUUCAGGAAACUGGGGCUAAUACCGGAUAGGAGCUCCUUCUGCAUGGUGGGGGUGGUAAAGUUUCGGCGGGUGGGGAUGGACUCGCGGCUUAUCAGCUUGUUGGUGGGGUAGUGGCUUACUAAGGCUUUGACGGGUAGCCUGCCUGAGAGGGUGACCGGCGACAUUGGGACUGAGGUACGGCCCAGACUCCUACGGGAGGCAGCAGUGGGGAAUAUUGCACAGUGGGCGGAAGCCUGAUGCAGCAACGCCGCGUGCGGGAUGACGGCCUUCGGGUUGUAAACCGCUUUCGCCUGUGACGAAGCGUGAGUGACGGUAAUGGGUAAAGAAGCACCGGCUAACUACGUG